GCACUUGCUUUGGCAAUACAUAUACCAAAAAUUGGAACGAUACAGAGAAGAUUAACAUGGCUCCUGCGCAAGAAUGACACGCAAAAUCAUGAAGUGUUCCACAUUUUU